UACGGAGGGGGCUAGCGUUGUUCGGAAUUACUGGGCGUAAAGCGCACGUAGGCGGCUUUGUAAGUUAGAGGUGAAAGCCCAGGGCUCAACCCUGGAAUUGCCUUUAAGACUGCAUCGCUUGAACAUCGGAGAGGUAAGUGGAAUUCCGAGUGUAGAGGUGAAAUUCGUAGAUAUUAGGAAGAACACCGGUGGCGAAGGCGGCCCACUGGAUCGGUACUGACGCUGAGACGCGAAAGCGUGGGGAGCGAACAGG
rnacentral:rRNA from 1 species